CAAUAAAAAAGAAUUGCUAAUUGCAGAGUGCGCUUGCCCAGCUGAGGCAUUGGAGCAGGGCAUUUUGAUAGUGGCUGGAGGGCAGGCAGCUCAACCUCUAAACCCCCCUGGUCUGGGCACCAAGUCCUGUCCUGGGCACGGGACACAGUCCUCCAGCGAGACCAAACCCAGCUUCUCUACAGCACCAGGAAGAAGGCAAGCUGGGCCACCAGGGCGCGGCCCCAGGAAGGAAAAUCCUCCAUGGUCCUGUUGACAGAUGUGGUAUCAAAUGAAUUGUUCUCUGCUUAGACACGACUUUGAUAUUUAUUGGUUCAAAUUGCUCGGCUGACUCAGUCUUGCGGACUCUGAUUACACUGGACCUAUCCAAGAUCUGAGAUCAUCAACUCAUCUCAAAAUCCUUAAGCUGACCACAGCAGCAUCGUCCCUUUUGCAGUGUAAGUUCCCCUCCAGGUUUGCACAGCAUCUGCUGAAGUCUCCACUAGAAACUCAAUGGAAGGUCCCCACCGGAAACUGAAAGUCUCCUAGAGUGGCUUUGAGUUGCGGUUUCACCCUCCCUGCAGAUCCACAGGGGAGGCUGGGGCAGAUGGAAAAUACCAACUUGAUGGUCUGUGGCCACACCAUGCUGCUCCCCAAGGCCCCUCAGAAUUUCACUGCCCAAUAUGGUAGCGCCCAGCCUGAAACGUGGCCAGUGUGAAUUGAGAUGGGCUGGAAAUGCACCAGACUUCCAAGAGCUGGACAAAAACCAUAUACUUUCCAUCCAGCUGUUUGGCAUUGGAUACUGCUGCCUCUGCUUGACUUGAGAAUGUGUGAGAAAAGCUGUGUUUAGACAACUGAAAACCAUGAGCUUGAAAGUAGUGGGGGCACACUCUUGGAGACUCCAGUUGCUCACCAGCUUGGACAAACCACUGGACUCAAAUGAUCAGGUAGAAAUUCAUCACUGGAGAGAACACAGUGGAAUGGCUUCAGCGAAAACUCACUCUGAAGGUCUUCAGGGCAACUUUAAGACUUGCCCCUGGCCGGGCACAGUGGCUUAUGCCUAUAAUCCCAGCACUUUGGGAGGCCGAGGCGGGUGGAUCACCUGAGGUCAGGAGUUCAAGACCAGCCUGGCCAAUAUGGCGAAACCCUGUCUCUACUAAAAAUCCAAAAAAUUAGCCGGGCGUGGUCGUGGGCGCCUGUAAUCCCAGCAACUCGAGAGGCUGAGGCAGGAGAAUUGCCUGAACCCGGGAGGCAGAGUUUGAAGACAGCCGAGAUUGCACCACUGGGCAACAAGAGCAAAACUCCAUCUCAAAAAAAAAAAAAAAAAAAAAAAUACUUGCCCCGGCUUUUUGUGUGAUGGACUUUCUAUUUACAGACGUGAUAUUUAUCUAUGACUUUACUCAGAGUCUGGCUCAUAGACCAGAAGGACUGGUAUCUCCUGGAGCUUGCAGGAAAUGCAAAAUCUCAAACCCCUGUAUUAGUCAGGGUUCUCCAGAGAAGUAGAGCCAAUGGGAUAGAGACAGGGAUAGGGAUGAUAGAGAUGGAGAUAGAGGUAGAGAUCCAUUGAUUCCUCUGUUAAUAAAUUGGCUCAUGCAGUUGUGACAAUUUCGAAAUCUGCAAGGUAUGUCAGCAAGCUGGAGACCCAGGGAACAGUUGAUGUUGCACCUUGAGUACAAAGGCAGUGUGUCUGGAGCCAUAAUAUCUUCUUGUUAGGAAGACUUUGGUCUUUUCUCUUCUGGCCUUCAACUGCUUGGGUGAGGCCCGUCCCCACUACAGAAGACAAUAGUCUGUUCUACUCAGAGUCUACUGAUUUAAAUGCUCAUCUCAUCCCAAAAAAUACCCUCACAGCAACAUUUAGCCUGUGCAUUUGACCAAACAACUGGGUACCAUGCCCCCCCUCCCAAGUUGACACACAAAAUUGACCAUCAUACCCUCCCCACCCCCAGUCUUACUGAAUGAGAGAGAAUCUGUGCUUCAACAAGAUCCCCAGAAGAGGUAUAAGCGCAGGGAAGUCUGAGAAGCACCACCUUUGAGGCUUAUCCAGGAUGCCCACAUGAGCCUUCUCUGGAUAUGUCAGAUCCCCUUCCUGGCCCCCUAGACACCUCCUCCACUCCCCAAACUUGGAAGCAACAUUGUGGGGAAGCAGGCAGUGAGGCGCUCAGUCUACCACGUUGUGAGAUACACAGCUCCAUCUGUGUAUCAUGAUUUGAUCCAAGGGAAAACAAAAGAUCCAGAAACAUAAGUACUUUUUUGUGAGCUCUCAAAAACUUCCUGUGACAAGAUCAGGUCGUUGAUGCGAGAGCCACACUUGUUUCUUUUUCCUCUUUAUUCUCCACCUCUGACAUAAUACUUAGCAUAAAAAAAAAUCCAAUAAACACCACUGAAUCAAUUAUCUAAGCCUCAGUUUCCCUCUUGUAAUAUGUACUUACCUGGUUGUGGUAGGAAAGACACCAGGCAUGAGAAACACUUAAAAGCCCAGGACCCUGAGCUGGGCACAUGGUAGGUACUCAGGAAGUCAUUGCCGAGUGUUCAGUGCAUGCUUGUUGAAUGAGUAAAUGAGGUCAGGCUUCAGCAUGCAAACACUCGCUAUAAAGCAGGAACCCUGUGCCCUGAGUGCACAAAAUAGAUAUCGGUGAGUGCAUAUGGGGGCAGUGAGUGUAUGGAUUGGAUAUAGGUGGGUGUAUAUGGUGAGGAGUAUGGAUUGGAUACAGGUGGGUGUAUACAGAGGGGAGUGAGUGUAUGGAUUGGAUACAGGUGGG
rnacentral:lncRNA from 1 species